ensembl:processed_transcript
UGAGUGAGACGCGAUUGCCAUCCGUGAGAUAUUGUGAAGUGCGGGGUAAAGUUAUUGCCAAGAAACUACCUCCCUGCUCAUAAAUAAAAGAUUGAAAUUAUCUCCUGACUCCUACUCCUUAACCAGAGUGCUGAAGUGGUCAGCAACAUUUAAAGAACUGGCAUUCUAAAUUGGGCAAUACCCAACA